rnacentral:rRNA from 1 species
CCUACGGGUGGCAGCAGUGGGGGAUAUUGCACAAUGGGGGGAACCCUGAUGCAGCGACGCCGCGUGGGUGAAGGAGUGCUUCGGCAUGUAAAGCCCUAUCGGCAGGGAAGAAGCAAGACGGUACCUGACUAAGAAGCCCCGGCUAACUACGUGCCAGCAGCCGCGGUAAUACGUAGGGGGCAAGCGUUGUCCGGAAUGACUGGGCGUAAAGGGAGUGUAGGCGGCUUAUCAAGUUAGAUGUGAAAUCCCGCGGCUUAACCGCGGAACUGCAUCUAAAACUGGUGAGCUGGAGUGCAGGAGAGGUGAGUGGAAUUGCUAGUGUAGCGGUGGAAUGCGUAGAUAUUAGGAGGAACACCAGAGGCGAAGGCGACUCACUGGACUGUAACUGACGCUGAGGCUCGAAAGCGUGGGGAGCAAACAGGAUUAGAUACCCGAGUAGUC